ACGACAAACUAUUCAAACCCACCAUAAAAAAUUUUACGCUUCAUAAGUUCGCUACACGAGGAUAUUUAUUUACAUGAUUUAUUAAUUAUACACUGUAUCUGAUGUUUUUUUUAUUAUCUCUUUUUUUUUUACUGCACAUAUGUUUAGCUAGGCUGAGCCAAGCCGAGCCAGCGCCAAGCGAGGCGGGCGGGAAUGCUAAACGCUGUACGCCGACUUUCGGAUCCUACCAACGUGGUUACGAACUUUAAUUCCACUUUUGUGAACAUCUUCAUUACGUGCAUCGUUCCCUACACGUAUCCGUGUUCAAGCUUACCGUUUUGUUGGUUUCACGCUGGCUGUGUACUUGGACUAGAAGGGAAACUUGGACGAGUUCGUGGUAAUUCAUGUUUUGGAAAAUAACAGCGCUAAACAGACAAGGACUUCUUCUUUGCCUAAGUCCUUGGCUGUUUAGCGCUAUUACUUUCCAAAACAUGUAUACUUGGAUUUUAGCCCAAAUGCAAGUGCGAAAAAAAAAAGAAAACUGAAGGAAGCAAUGGCGUACAACAGUGCAUUGGUCCCAUGUACUUGAUGUCGCCCUGUUCUCAGUAGCGCCUGUGCCCGGCGAAGGUUUGAAGACGCAAGUUGCUGCUUUUUUUCUUUUUUGAAAAACAAAUUUGUGGAUCUAAGAAAGGUUGUCAAAUCUUCUUUUUAGACUCACUGUUGAUCGAAUAAAGCUGUGUAACUUUCA